UACGGGGGGGGCAAGCGUUGUUCGGAAUUACUGGGCGUAAAGGGCUCGUAGGCGGCCAACUCAGUCGGACGUGAAAUCCCUCGGCUUAACCGGGGAAUGGCGUCCGAUACUGGAUGGCUUGAGUUUGGGAGAGGGAUGCGGAAGUUCCAGGUGUAGCGGUGAAAUGCGUAGAUAUCUGGAGGAACACCGGUGGCGAAGGCGGCAUCCUGGACCAACACUGACGCUGAGGAGCGAAAGCCAGGGGAGCAAACGGG
rnacentral:rRNA from 1 species